AUGCUGUGGUGUGGGCAUGCUGUGAUGUAUUCUUGGAGAUGUUCCCAGGAUUUCGUGAUGGUUUCAUCCUGGAGAUGUUGAAAACUAGAAAUCUUGUUCUGAAGGGC